GAUGAACGCUGGCGGCGUGCCUAAUACAUGCAAGUCGAGCGAACAGACGAGGAGCUUGCUCCUCUGACGUUAGCGGCGGACGGGUGAGUAACACGUGGAUAACCUACCUAUAAGACUGGGAUAACUUCGGGAAACCGGAGCUAAUACCGGAUAAUAUAUUGAACCGCAUGGGUCAAUAGUGAAAGACGGUUUUGCUGUCACUUAUAGAUGGAUCCGCGUCGCAUGAGCUAGUUGGUAAGGUAACGGCUUACCAAGGCAACGAUGCGUAGCCGACCUGAGAGGGUUAUCGGCCACACUGGAACUGAGACACGGUCCAGACUCCUACGGGAGGCAGCAGUAGGGAAUCUUCCGCAAUGGGCGAAAGCCUGACGGAGCAACGCCGCGUGAGUGAUGAAGGUCUUCGGAUCGUAAAACUCUGUUAUUAGGGAAGAACAAAUGUGUAAGUAACUAUGCACGUCUUGACGGUACCUAAUCAGAAAGCCACGGCUAACUACGUG
rnacentral:rRNA from 1 species